rnacentral:rRNA from 1 species
CCCUUAGACGUUCUGGGCCGCACGCGCGCUACACUGACCAGUGCAACAAGCAUCCGUCCUUGGCCGACAGGCCCGGGCAAUCUUUGAACGCUGGUCGUGAUGGGGAUAGACUUUUGCAAUUUUUGGUCUUCAACGAGGAAUUCCUAGUAAACGCAAGUCAUCAACUUGCAUUGAUUACGUCCCUGCCCUUUGUACACACCGCCCGUCGCUGCCUCCGAUUGAGUGAUCCGGUGAAUAUUUCGGACCGACGCCUUGUUUGGUUUACCGAACUUGGUGCUGGAAAGUUGAGUAAACCUUAUCACUUAGAGGAAGCAAAAGUCGUAACA